UACGAAGGGGGCUAGCGUUGUUCGGAAUUACUGGGCGUAAAGCGCGCGCAGGUGGUUUCACAAGUCAGUGGUGAAAGCCCGGAGCUCAACUCCGGAACUGCCAUUGAAACUGUGAAGCUCGAGGACGAGAGAGGUGAGUGGAAUUCCCAGUGUAGAGGUGGAAGGCGUAGAUAUUGGGAAGAACACCGGUGGCGAAGGCGGCGCACUGGCUCGUAUCUGACACGCAAGCGCGACAGCGUGGGGAUCAAACGGG
rnacentral:rRNA from 1 species